UAUGGAAGCUGUAGAAGCAGCCAUCCAGACAAGUGAGAAACAAUCUUUUGUCUAUAGAAGGUGGCAAUCUUGCCUAAACCUGGAAAUCUUUGACUGCUGAUAGCUAAAUCUGGUCAUUCCCAUCCAUACAAC